GGGGAUGUAGCUCAGUUGGUAGAGUGCUUGUCUUGCAUGCAAAAUGCCCUGGGUUCAAUCCCCAGCACCACCU
rnacentral:tRNA from 1 species